rnacentral:rRNA from 1 species
GACGAACGCUGGCGGCGUGCCUAAUACAUGCAAGUAGAACGCUGAAGAGAGGAGCUUGCUCUUCUUGGAUGAGUUGCGAACGGGUGAGUAACGCGUAGGUAACCUGCCUUGUAGCGGGGGAUAACUAUUGGAAACGAUAGCUAAUACCGCAUAACAAUGGAUGACACAUGUCAUUUAUUUGAAAGGGGCAAUUGCUCCACUACAAGAUGGACCUGCGUUGUAUUAGCUAGUAGGUGAGGUAAUGGCUCACCUAGGCGACGAUACAUAGCCGACCUGAGAGGGUGAUCGGCCACACUGGGACUGGGACACGGCCCAGACUCCUACAGGAGGCAGCAGGAGGGAAUCUUCGGCAAUGGGGGCAACCCUGACCGAACAACGCCGCGUGAGUGAAGAAGGUUUUCGGAUCGGAAAGCUCUGUUGUAAGUCAAGAACGGGUGUGAGAGUGGAAAGUUCACACUGUGACGGUAGCUUACCAGAAAGCGACGGCUAACUACGUG